rnacentral:rRNA from 1 species
GACGAACGCUGGCGGCGUGCCUAAUACAUGCAAGUGGGACGCAAGGAAACACACUGUGCUUGCACACCGUGUUUUCUUGAGUCGCGAACGGGUGAGUAACGCGUAGGUAACCUGCCUAUUAGCGGGGGAUAACUAUUGGAAACGAUAGCUAAUACCGCAUAAUAUUAAUUAUUGCAUGAUAAUUGAUUGAAAGAUGCAAGCGCAUCACUAGUAGAUGGACCUGCGUUGUAUUAGCUAGUUGGUAAGGUAAGAGCUUACCAAGGCGACGAUACAUAGCCGACCUGAGAGGGUGAUCGGCCACACUGGGACUGAGACACGGCCCAGACUCCUACGGGAGGCAGCAGUAGGGAAUCUUCGGCAAUGGACGAAAGUCUGACCGAGCAACGCCGCGUGAGUGAAGAAGGUUUUCGGAUCGUAAAGCUCUGUUGUAAGUCAAGAACGUGUGUGAGAGUGGAAAGUUCACACAGUGGCGGUAGCUUACCAGAAAGGGACGGCUAACUACGUG